rnacentral:sRNA from 1 species
AAAAUACUUGCAUAAAUAUGGACUUUUCUGCUAAUCAGAGUUCUCUUAUACUUUUUUUUU